UACAGAGGGGGCGAGCGUUGUUCGGAAUUACUGGGCGUAAAGGGCGCGUAGGCGGCCCGCUAAGUCGAACGUGAAAUCCCCAGGCUCAACCUGGGAACUGCGUCCGAUACUGGCAGGCUUGAAUCCGGGAGAGGGAUGUGGAAUUCCAGGUGUAGCGGUGAAAUGCGUAGAUAUCUGGAGGAACACCGGUGGCGAAGGCGGCAUCCUGGACCGGUAUUGACGCUGAGGCGCGAAAGCCAGGGGAGCAAACGGG
rnacentral:rRNA from 1 species